CUACGGGGGGCAGCAGUGAGGAAUAUUGCACAAUGGGGGAAACCCUGAUGCAGCAACGCCGCGUGGAGGAUGACGCAUUUCGGUGUGUAAACUCCUUUUAUGAGUCAAGAAAAUGACGGUAGCUCAUGAAUAAGCACCGGCUAACUCCGUGCCAGCAGCCGCGGUAAUACGGAGGGUGCAAGCGUUACUCGGAAUCACUGGGCGUAAAGGACGCGUAGGCGGGCUUGUAAGUCAGGUGUGAAAUCCUACAGCUUAACUGUAGAACUGCACUUGAAACUACGAGCCUAGAGUAUGGGAGGGGCAGAUGGAAUUAGUGGUGUAGGGGUAAAAUCCGUAGAUAUCACUAGGAAUACCGAAAGCGAAGGCGAUCUGCUGGAACAUUACUGACGCUAAGGCGUGAAAGCGUGGGGAGCAAACGGGAUUAGAUACCCUCGUAGUC
rnacentral:rRNA from 1 species